rnacentral:rRNA from 1 species
GGAGUUAGCCGGUGCUUCUUCUGUGAGUGAUGUCCUUCCUGCCGGCUAUUAACCCGCAGGCCUUCUUCCUCACUGAAAGUGCUUUACAACCCGAAGGCCUUCUUCACACACGCGGCAUGGCUGGAUCAGGGUUGCCCCCAUUGUCCAAUAUUCCCCACUGCUGCCUCCCGUAGGAGUCUGGGCCGUGUCUCAGUCCCAGUGUGGCUGAUCAUCCUCUCAGACCAGCUACGGAUCGUCGCCUUGGUGAGCCGUUACCUCACCAACCAGCUAAUCCGACAUAGGCUCAUCCGAUAGCGCGAGGCCCGAAGGUCCCCCGCUUUCCCCCGUAGGGCGUAUGCGGUAUUAGCCUGGGUUUCCCCAGGUUAUCCCCCACUACCGGGCAGAUUCCUAUGCAUUACUCACCCGUCCGCCGCUCGCCACCAGGGAGCAAGCUCCCCGUGCUGCCGCUCGACUUGCAUGUGUUAGGCCUGCCGCCAGCGUUCAAUCUGAGCCAGANCAACACUGA